CUGAAUUUUAUUAUUAAAGAGCGUACUGAAUUUGCCAAAAUGAAUUAUAUUACAAUUUAUAAUGAUUUGAAAUUAUUUGACCUUACCCUAUUUAGAAUAAGAAAGAUGGGAACUCUUACAUAUUAGAAAAAAUUAAAGCUUUUGCUCAAGCAAAUUAAGAGUUCCCAUGUUUGAGUUAAAUUGUACUUUUGAAGUCUACACUUGCUGAAUAUAAAUAAGAAUGGCUUCCCCGCUUAAGUAGUUGUAGCUUAAGACUUACUUGGUAUCACAACACCGAAGCGGUAAGAAGAUAAAGGCUGCCAAUAAAACUACAACAACUAAAACAAACCUCACGAGAUUGUACAUGGUCCUUACGAGCCUCCACGAGGAACUGCGAAUAUUAAAUUUAAAAAGGAAAGAAAUCUUCACGAAAUUUUGGAAUUUAUAGGCCGAAUAUUACGCAAGAGUAAUGAACAACAACAACAAAAGCUCCCAAAAAUGCAAGGUCUGCCAAGACAGACAUCACCUGCGGUUUUGUUUGAUCUUCAACAAAAUGACUGUUUUAGAACGUGUAAAGGUGGCAAAGGAGAAGGGAUAUUGCUUUAACUGCCUUUGUGGGUCUCAUACCAGGGAAUGGUGCCGUUCUCGGAAUGCUUGCGCAGUGUGUAACAGAAAUCACCAUACAAAACUUCACGUUGAUGGUACCAAUGAGCCCAAAAAGCAAGCCCACUGCAACAAGCCAUAUUCAUACCAAAAACAGUCGUCACAUGAAUUUUUAUCAUCUCGUACCCAAAGUAAAACACACAAAGCCAAUUCAUCGCAUCAGAAACCAAAGUCUCAAGCAGAAGGAUACCAAAUAAGACAACGCCUUGGCGGACGGUCCAAGAAGCAUGUAUUUAUGCCAACUGCGUUGGCACGUGCAAUAACCAUAGUUGGAGCAAACAAGACCCGAAUUUUAUUAAACUCAGGAGCAACAGAGACUGUUAUAUUAAAGUCAUUUGUAAAAAACAAUCAGUUCCAGACAACAAAAAGGAAUGACAAAGAGUACUGUACGGUUAAUUUACAAUCGUUUCACGACAGUGCCGUCAAAAUACAAAUCCAUGGAUUGGUACAAUCAAAAUUUACUUCACCGCUUCCAGAAAAAGUGCAGGACAGGAUACUAGAAAAUACUUAUAGUCACCUUCCUGAUUUAGCCGAUCCCCAUUUCUAUCAUCCGGUCAACAUCGAUAUUAUGGUUGGCAACGAUGAGCUAGCGAAGGUGCUAAAGGCUGGUCUUAUCCAAACAGCAAGUCAUAUGCCUAUAGCUCAAAGCACUGUGUUUGGAUGGGUGAUCUCGGGGGCUAGAUAUUAUUAAUGUUGCGACAUCGCAAGAGGCCCCGCCAUGUUAAACUUCGUUUAACAGCAACUGAAUUUUAUUAUUAAAGAGCGUACUGAAUUUGCCAAAAUGAAUUAUAUUACAAUUUAUAAUGAUUUGAAAUUAUUUGACCUUACCCUAUUUAGAAUAAGAAAGAUGGGAACUCUUACAUAUUAGAAAAAAUUAAAGCUUUUGCUCAAGCAAAUUAAGAGUUCCCAUGUUUGAGUUAAAUUGUACUUUUGAAGUCUACACUUGCUGAAUAUAAAUAAGAAUGGCUUCCCCGCUUAAGUAGUUGUAGCUUAAGACUUACUUGGUAUCACAACACCGAAGCGGUAAGAAGAUAAAGGCUGCCAAUAAAACUACAACAACUAAAACAAACCUCACGAGAUUGUACAUGGUCCUUACGAGCCUCCACGAGGAACUGCGAAUAUUAAAUUUAAAAAGGAAAGAAAUCUUCACGAAAUUUUGGAAUUUAUAGGCCGAAUAUUACGCAAGAGUAAUGAACAACAACAACAAAAGCUCCCAAAAAUGCAAGGUCUGCCAAGACAGACAUCACCUGCGGUUUUGUUUGAUCUUCAACAAAAUGACUGUUUUAGAACGUGUAAAGGUGGCAAAGGAGAAGGGAUAUUGCUUUAACUGCCUUUGUGGGUCUCAUACCAGGGAAUGGUGCCGUUCUCGGAAUGCUUGCGCAGUGUGUAACAG